AGUGAACGCUGGCGGUAGGCCUAACACAUGCAAGUCGAACGGCAGCACAGUAAGAGCUUGCUCUUACGGGUGGCGAGUGGCGGACGUGUGAGGAAUACAUCGGAAUCUACUUUUUCGUGGGGGAUAACGUAGGGAAACUUACGCUAAUACCGCAUACGACCUACGGGUGAAAGCAGGGGAUCUUCGCACCUUGCGCGAUUGAAUGAGCCGAUGUCGGACUAGCUAGUUGGCGGGGUAAAGGCCCACCAAGGCGCCGAUCCGUAGCUGGUCUGAGAGGAUGAUAGCCCGCACGGGAGCGGGACCAGGGUCCAUGCUCCUGCGAGAGGGAGCAGUGGGGAAUAUUAGGCAAUAGGCGCAAACCUGAUCCAGCCGGACCGAGUGGGUGGAGAAAGCCUUCGGGUUGUGAAGCCCUUUUGUUGGGAAAGAAAAGCAGCAGGUUAAGACCCCGCUGGUCUGACGGUACCCAAAGAAUAAGCACCGGCUAACUACGUG
rnacentral:rRNA from 1 species